GCUGCCCAUCAAGCACGGCUUGUGUGUUGGGUCGUCGUCCCCUCUCCGGGGGGGACGGGCCCCAAAGGCAGCGGCGGCACCGCGUCCGAUCCUCGAGCGUAUGGGGCUUUGUCACCCGCUCUGUAGGC
rnacentral:misc_RNA from 1 species